ACUUCCUUUUGCUCAGAUCCAUCGCAAAGGAGCUCAAACCGGGCCCAGAGGAGCAGGUCCCACGGCCUCGGCCUCUACCAGUGCCAUCCUGGGUGGCCUGGGGGGUGGGCAGGCCCUCUGGGACCAAUGGUGCUGACCCGCCUUGGCCCUGGGUCGCUGGCCCACCGCAGCAGAGGCGAGGAAGGGCAGUCGGGGAUGAGGGGGCCUCUGCUGAGCUGCAGGAGAUCUGCAGGAAACAGACACACCCAGUGGAAGCGGCUGAUGUUGGUUGAGUGCCCUCUGCAUGCAGUGGAGAGGUGUCUACAGUGAUGGACAAGAUGGAAGGAAAGGUGGAAAGAGACAGGAAACAACGAGCCUAAAGGUCACGUGUCUGGGGUCACCUUGACCCCUUUCUUCUCUUACCUCUCACUUCUGAUGUGCGCACCCAGCCAGCCCUGCCUCCCGGACUUGACUGCCUCUGGACGCUGCCACCACCCUGCCCACCACAUCUGGAGCCCGACCCCUGUGGAAACCCCUGCUGGCCCCCUCAGGCCCUUCUCAGCCAGGGGUCCUAUCACAUCUACGUCAGAUUAUGUCACGUCUCUGCUCACAACCCACCUGCGGCUGCUCAUUCCUGCCAGAAAACACAUCCAAGACCCCACGAUGGCCUCUAAGUCCCUACGUGGGUGGCCGCUAUGGCCCAUCUGUCCUGGUCUCCACUACUCACGCCCUUUCACCUGCUCCAACGCAACUACUCACGCCCUUUCACCUGCUCCAACGCAACUACUCACGCCCUUUCACCUGCUCCAACGCAACUACUCACGCCCUUUCACCUGCUCCAACGCAACUACUCACGCCCUUUCACCUGCUCCAACGCAACUACUCACGCCCUUUCACCUGCUCCAGCGCACUCACCACCUCCUUGCUUCUUGAACUGGCAAACGUGCUCCUGCCCCAGGGCCUUUGCACUGGCUCUUCCCCCUACCUGGGAUGCUCUUUCCUCAGACACUACCUGGCUCUUCCCCUCACCUUUUUCAAGGGAGGCCGUCCUUGACCACUUGAUUUAAAUCGCCCUCCUGACCCUCUGGAUUCCCUUUCCUGUUCUAACACUUAUCACCUGCAGGUCAUGUCAUUUUCUUCAUUAUUUUGCUUGUUGUCUGUCUCCCCAAGGACAGAAAGUUUCAUCUGUUUUCUUUACUGCUGGAUGCCCAGCACCUAAAAUAAGCCUGGUAUUCAAUCAAUAGUUAUUUGUGAAUGUAUCUGACAAGGAAUUAUUUUGCUUUUCCUCAAGGGUCAGCAAAUGGUUUCUGUAAUGGGCCAGAUAGUAAAUAUUUUCAGCUUUCUGUCACACUAUCUCUGUCGAAGCUAACCAACUCUGCCAUUAAAAAGCAAAGCAGCCAGA